AAUUUAUUUUAUUAAUUAAUUUAUUUAUAUUUUUUUUUUUAUAAAAAUAAUUUAUUUAUUUUUUGUUUAAGUAUUAAGUUAAAAAUAAUUUUUAGAUUUAUAGUUUAUUAGUAUUGUAAAAGAAUUAGUUUUAAAUAUGUAAAAGAAUUUUUUAAAGUACCUUUUGUAUCAGGGUUAAUUAAAAUUUUUAAUUUAUUUUAAAUUCUCAAAAUUUAUAGAGUUAAUUUUAUUAUUAAGUUAUUGUAUUAAAAAUAUUUAUAAAAUAAUUUUAGUUUUGAUAUUUAAUUCGUUAUAAAAUAUUUAGUUAUUUAAGAUUUAAAUUUAAUUUAAAAUUUUAAAAGUUUAAACUAUAUUUUUGGUUUAAAUUUUAAAUUUAAAUUAUUUUAGGGAUAAGCUUGAAAUUUUUAUAUAAUAAUUAAAUUAAUUUAAAUAAUUAAUAGAAAUAGAAAUUUUUAUUUAAGUUUGUAAAAAUUUAUUAUUUAAUAUAAUAUUUUAAUUUAUUAUAAAUUAUUUAUUUAUAUUAUUAAAUUUUAUAAAUUAAUUAUUUAUUUAUAGUAAUAAUGAUUAAAUUAGUAUAAUUAAAAAUUUAUAAAUUAUGAAUUCGGCAAAUAAAAUUUUCAUCUGUUUAACAAAAACAUUGUAUUAAGUUUAAUUUAAUAUAGGAUCUGCUCAAUGAUUAAAUUAAAUAGCUGCAGUAUUUUGACUGUGCAAAGGUAGCAUAAUAAUUAGUCUUUUAAUUGAGGACUUGAAUGAAAGAUUUGAUGAGAAAUUAUCUUUAUUAUUUAUAAAAUUAAAAUUUUAUUUUUAAGUAAAAAGGCUUAAAUAUUUUAAAGGGACGAUAAGACCCUAUAAAACUUUAUAAUUUUAUAAUUUUAAAUUUUUGGUUUAUAAAUAUUUAAUUUUUUAAAAUUAUUUAAUUGGGGUGAUUAAAAAAAAAAUUUAACUUUUUUUAAAUAAAACAUUAAUUUAUGAUUUUUUGAAUUAAAAAUUUUAAUUAAAGGAAAAAGUUACUUUAGGGAUAACAGCGUAAUUAAUUUUUUAAGUUCAAAUUUAAAUAUUAGUUUGCGACCUCGAUGUUGAAUUAAGAUUAAUCUUAGGUGCAAAAUUUUAAGUGUUAGGUCUGUUCGACCUUUAAAUUCUUACAUGAUUUGAGUUCAAACCGGUGUAAGCCAGGUUGGUUUCUAUCUUUUAAAUUUAAAUUUAUUUUAGUACGAAAGGAUUAAAUAAAUAAAUUAAAUUUUUAUUUUUGAAUAAAAUUAAA
rnacentral:rRNA from 1 species